GUGGGGAAUAUUGCACAAUGGGGGAAACCCUGAUGCAGCGACGCCGCGUGAGUGAUGAAGGCCUUCGGGUCGUAAAGCUCUGUCGUAUGGGACUAACACAAUGAAGGUACCAUGCAAGAAAGGAUCGGCUAACUUCGUGCCAGCAGCCGCGGUAAGACGAGGGAUCCUAGCGUUGUUCGGAAUCAUUGGGCGUAAAGCGGGUGUAGGCGGAUUUAUAAGUCAGGUGUGAAAUCCCAGGGCUCAACCCUGGAAGUGCACUUGAUACUGUAAAUCUUGAGUGUGGUAGAGGUUACUGGAAUUGUUGGUGUAGUGGUGAAAUACGUAGAUAUCAACAGGAAUACCGGAGGCGAAGGCGAGUAACUGGGCCAACACUGACGCUGAGACCCGAAAGCGUGGGGAUCAAACAGGAUUAGAAACCCUGGUAGUCC
rnacentral:rRNA from 1 species